rnacentral:ncRNA from 1 species
GGUCAAGCAAUGAAGCGCACACGGUGGAUGCCUAGGCAGCCAGAGGCGAUGAAAGACGUGGUAGCCUGCGAUAAGGUUCGGUGAGGUGGCAAACGACCUGUGACCCGGACAUCUCUGAAUGGGGAAACCCACUCAUCACAAGAUGAGUAUCUUGCGCUGAAUCCAUAG